GGGGUGGAUGUCAUGUUCAGCGCUUAACUUACCUCCGAAUAAAACCCGCAGGCCCUAUUAGCUACUCGCUGGUAAGGCCAGCGCGUCCCGCGCAUUUCGUGUUUCCGACUUUACCCGACAAUAGCUAACUGGCGAUGCAAAUUUAGAACUGCGACCUACAUUCUUUGUUCCGGGGGAUUCCCUAUUUGUGCGCAUGUCCAGAAGACGUUAAUAUGUCUUCCGGGAAAAACAAAUAGGCGUGCUCACAGAUUUACUAUACAACUCUAUGGAUGUGCUCUUUUCGCGGAACAAACUUUGUCAGCCUACUUUUUUUAUAAUAAUGGAGCCGACGUCUUCCAAACGCCAGCGAGGAGCAAACUGGUCCAGCAGGGAAGUACAGGCAUUAUUAGAGAUUUGCCUUCAUAUGCACCUGUUCCUGAUGCUGGCCUAACAAAGGAAGUGUUCUCUAGUGUAGAUGUCUAUGAUACAAAUAGUUUAAGAUGUAUUCUCAAUAUAUAUUCUGAGAAAAUAAGUGUCAAGCAGAAUUUAAGUUCAGGUCAGCUUUAUGCUAUACCUAACGCUGUUUGCAGAAAUGACAAGUACUGUUAAUAGUUUGUAAUCUCAGCAGUCCUGUCCAACCUUAAAUUAAUUUUCAGUAGGAUGCAUGUGUGGAAGUGUAAUGUAUCUUAAGAGUGAUGUACAAUCUAAGAUUGCAUAUUUUUGUGGUGCACAACUUGUGAACCAAAUAUUGAAACUUGCACUGGUUUUUCAUUGUUGUUGUUUUGGGAUGAGCAGACAUUUAGAGUUGCAUGCUGGAAUUAAUAAAGUUGAUCAUUCAUUUUCA
rnacentral:lncRNA from 1 species